rnacentral:rRNA from 2 species
GUCGAGCGGACAGAUGGGAGCUUGCUCCCUGAUGUUAGCGGCGGACGGGUGAGUAACACGUGGGUAACCUACCUUUAAGACUGGGAUAACUCCGGGAAACCGGGGCUAAUACCGGAUAAUAUCUUUCUUUGCAUAAAGAGAGAUUGAAAGAUGGCUUUUGCUAUCACUUAUAGAUGGACCCGCGGCGCAUUAGCUAGUUGGUGAGGUAACGGCUCACCAAGGCGACGAUGCGUAGCCGACCUGAGAGGGUGAUCGGCCACACUGGGACUGAGACACGGCCCAGACUCCUACGGGAGGCAGCAGUAGGGAAUCUUCCGCAAUGGACGAAAGUCUGACGGAGCAACGCCGCGUGAGUGAUGAAGGUUUUCGGAUCGUAAAGCUCUGUUGUUAGGGAAGAACAAGUACCGUUCAAAUAGGGCGGUACCUUGACGGUACCUAACCAGAAAGCCACGGCUAACUACGUGCCAGCAGCCGCGGUAAUACGUAGGUGGCAAGCGUUGUCCGGAAUUAUUGGGCGUAAAGCGCGCGCAGGCGGUCUCUUAAGUCUGAUGUGAAAGCCCACGGCUCAACCGUGGAGGGUCAUUGGAAACUGGGGGACUUGAGUGCAGAAGAGGAAAGUGGAAUUCCACGUGUAGCGGUGAAAUGCGUAGAUAUGUGGAGGAACACCAGUGGCGAAGGCGACUUUCUGGUCUGUAACUGACGCUGANGCGCGAAAGCGUGGGGGAGCAAACAGGAUUAGAUACCCUGGUAGUCCACGCCGUAAACGAUGAGUGCUAAGUGUUAGGGGGUUUCCGCCCCUUAGUGCUGCAGCUAACGCAUUAAGCACUCCGCCUGGGGAGUACGGUCGCAAGACUGAAACUCAAAGGAAUUGACGGGGCCCGCACAAGCGGUGGAGCAUGUGGUUUAAUUCGAA